UACGUAGGGGGCUAGAGUUGUUCGGAAUUACUGGGCGUAAAGCGCGUGUAGGCGGGCCGUUAAGUCGGGGGUGAAAGCCCAGAGCUCAACUCUGGAACUGCCUUCGAUACUGGCGGCCUGGAGCAUGAUAGAGGCGAGUGGAAUUUCGAGUGUAGAGGUGAAAUUCGUAGAUAUUCGCUGGGUCACCAGUGGCGAAGGCGACUCGCUGGUUCAUUGCUGACGCUGAGACUCGGAAGCGUCUGGCUCAAACGGG
rnacentral:rRNA from 1 species